rnacentral:rRNA from 1 species
GGUUAAGCGACUAAGCGUACACGGUGGAUGCCCUGGCAGUCAGAGGCGAUGAAGGACGUGCUAAUCUGCGAAAAGCGUCGGUAAGGUGAUAUGAACCGUUACAGCCGGCGAUGUCCGAAUGGGGAAACCCAGUGCAAUUCGUUGCACUAUCGUUAACUGAAUACAUAGGUUAACGAGGCGAACCGGGGGAACUGAAACAUCUAAGUACCCCGAGGAAAAGAAAUCAACCGAGAUUCCCCCAGUAGCGGCGAGCGAACGGGGAGCAGCCCAGAGUCUGAAUCAGCUUGUGUGUUAGUGGAACGGUCUGGAAAGUCCGACGGUACAGGGUGAUAGUCCCGUACACCAAAAUGCACAGGCUGUGAACUCGAAGAGUAGGGCGGGACACGUGGUAUCCUGUCUGAAUAUGGGGGGACCAUCCUCCAAGGCUAAAUACUCCUGACUGACCGAUAGUGAACCAGUACCGUGAGGGAAAGGCGAAAAGAACCCCGGCGAGGGGAGUGAAAAAGAACCUGAAACCGUGUACGUACAAGCAGUGGGAGCACCUUCGGGUGUGACUGCGUACCUUUUGUAUAAUGGGUCAGCGACUUAUAUUCUGUAGCAAGGUUAACCGUAUAGGGGAGCCGCAGGGAAACCGAGUCUUAACUGGGCGUUAAGUUGCAGGGUAUAGACCCGAAACCCGGUGAUCUAGCCAUGGGCAGGUUGAAGGUUGGGUAACACUAACUGGAGGACCGAACCGACUAAUGUUGAAAAAUUAGCGGAUGACUUGUGGCUGGGGGUGAAAGGCCAAUCAAACCGGGAGAUAGCUGGUUCUCCCCGAAAGCUAUUUAGGUAGCGCCUCGUGAA